AACCAUGUUCUCUGUAGCUCUGCUGCUGCUGUUGGCAGCUGGAUAUGUGAAGUGUGAACAGUUGACACAGCCAGCCUCCGUGACUGUGCAGCCAGGUCAACGUCUGACCAUCACCUGUCAGGUCUCUUAUUCUGUUAGCAGCUACUGGACAGCUUGGAUCAGACAGCCUGCAGGGAAAGAACUGGAGUGGAUUGGGAUGAGAGUUGGAUCCACCACAUACUACAAAGAUUCACUAAAGAACAAGUUCAGUAUUGAUUUAGACUCUUCCAGCAACACAGUGACUCUCAAUGGACAGAAUGCGCAGCCGGAAGACACUGCUGUGUAUUACUGUGCCAGACACACACACUGGUUAAAGGAAGCAGAGACGCUUUACAAAAACUCCACAGAACAUUUGUUUCCAAAGACCUACAGGUGGCAGCAGAACAUAUGAAGUCAGAUGACACUAACUAAGGAGAGUAUGACAGUGACUCUAAACACUCACACAUACAUACAUGCAUCAUAUGAAAACAACAGCUGAUGUUGUGGUUUGUGACUUCCUGU